AAUAGAUACCGGGUAGUCCUAGCCGUGAACGAUACUCGCUAGGUGUCGGCCACGGUGCGACCGUUGUCGGUGCCGUAGGGAAGCCGUGAAGCGAGCCACCUGGGAAGUACGGCCGCAAGGCUGAAACUUAAAGGAAUUGGCGGGGGAGCACCACAACGGGUGGAGCUUGCGGUUUAAUUGGAUUCAACGCCGGAAAUCUUACCGGGACCGACAGCAAUAUGAAGGCCAGGCUGAAGACUUUGCCGGAUUAGCUGAGAGGUGGUGCAUGGCCGUCGUCAGUUCGUACUGUGAAGCAUCCUGUUAAGUCAGGCAACGAGCGAGACCCACGCCCACAGUUGCCAGCGUACUCUCUGGAGUGACGGGUACACUGUGGGGACCGCCGCUGCUAAAGCGGAGGAAGGAAUGGGCAACGGUAGGUCAGUAUGCCCCGAAUAUCCCGGGCUACACGCGAGCUACAAUGGUUGGUACAAUGGGUAUCUACCCGAAAGGGGACGGGAAUCUCCUAAAACCAAUCUUAGUUCGGAUUGAGGGCUGCAACUCGCCCUCA
rnacentral:rRNA from 1 species